CAGCCGCAUCAGGCUUUCCUACUCUCAGCGCAAGCUCAGUGAAAAUCUGGGAAAUGUAAGUGGAAACAUGAGAGACCGCUUUAUUUGGCAGUGCUUUAGAAAAAAAAAAAAAAGGGCAGGACAAAUGGCAAGGCAGUGUUUGGACCGCAGGAUGAACAAUCAAUAGGCAGAAAGCAAGAUAGAGGCUUCCUCAGCUUUUGGAUCGACAAUCGACAGCUGAGAGACUAUUUUUUGCUAUGGUUGACUAAAUAUGGUCAGGGAAGAGAGAGGCACAAGGGAGCCUGUUUGCCUGGGAGUGCAUGUUUCAAAUGCUUAGCUGCCUAUAAAGCUGUAACAGUUUAGCCUGUGGCCACUGAGGGAAGAAUAUGUUAACCUCUGUAGUGACCAUGUGGAAGUCCUGACCUUGCUUGCAGACAUGACCUCUGGAUAUGACAAGGUGAGGUUCUGUGUUCACUAAUACUUCCCCCUUACUUCACCCGGCUCAUGAAAAGAAGCGCUGAUUCAGCGAAUAGAGUGAAGGAACAAUCAAGAUGAGAUGGCUGCUGCUGAUGUGACUCUCGGGGUCAUUAUCUCUCCUCCUGCUGCUAACGCUGCCUGACACUAAGCUUACAGGAUCUAGAAACAAACUACAAGUAAUAAGAAGAAACUUGCUCUGAAGACCAUGAAGAAACACUAGGCUGAUUUUACCAAUUUCUGAAAUACAUUCUAUAAAUCCCCAUUGAUUCUGUGAAUCUCUUGCAAAAAGAACCAAACCAGGACAAAGUUCAACAGAUAAUUGGUCAAUGUCUAGAAGUCUAUGUCCACCAAGAACAAGGAACCGUAAAUGGCACUAAUGCCAUGCCUCAGGUAAAUCUGUUAUAAAGUUUAGUCUUUGAUAGUCUCUGCAAAUGAUCUACCAGCUCUCCAUCAGUAAGCUGAAUGUUUUACUAACAAAUGGGAAAAUAAAACAUUUCAUGUUUUUACAGCUAACAACUUAGCAAUACCUACUCAGAGUACAUACUUCUUUAUGUACCCAUAUGAACAUACAAUGCUAUGGAAUGUAAAGAAGUAUGUAUUUUUGGUAGGCAAUAAACCACCAAGCGGGAACUAGACUGCAGCUAUGUGAAUGACCUUCAUAUGGUAAAUUAAUCUAAUAUCAAAGAGAUGACCUUUGGCAAUUCUAACAUCAGAAAAAUGUAUCUACUACUUACAGAUGGAAACUAAAUAUCACUAAGGUUUAUAUUGUGAGGAAAAAGUUCUACUGAAAUAGAUUUAAAAUUGUCGUGAAACUCCUUUUAAAUCUUAUAAAUUUAAAGCAUACUACAUUUUACAUUUUUAAAUUAAUUACUCACAUGAUUAAAAUCUGAAUACAAAAGAGAACAGUAUUACUAGCACAAAAAGAUGAGGGAUACACAUGGCCCAUUUUCUGUCUCUGCAAUUUGAUCUUAAUUUAGAUAUUAUAUUAGCAGGGUUGACUUAUUUAAGAAAACCAAGAUAUAACAAAAGCUGACUUCAUUUAUAUUUUUAACACCUGUUCUUCAUAUUUUGAUAAAUUUGUAAUCUAUUAAUAUUAGAGGAAUUUCUGAAGCAAGUUUUGUUGCUUUAGGUUUUCUUUUUUGAAAACUAUAGACAUAGUUAUAACUUUAAAAAGCUAUCUUCCAUGUAAAACUCUACUCUCAAAGACAAAAAAAGUAGUCCUUGUCCUUCUCAAAUUUUUCAGGUCCCUAACUCAGUUUCCACUUUAAAUGCUUUUUAAGUAUUUAUAAUAAAUCAUAUUUAUUCAUGAAAAAUGACAAAAUCCUAGGGAACAGCUAUAAGUCAACAGGGCACAUAUUUAAAAGAAAUUAAUUUAUUCCUUAUAUAAUCCUUGAGUUUGCUUUCUCCAAAGAAAGCACAUAAAAUGAAAGCAAUAGUCAAGAAGCCAAUUUAUACAGAUAAACUAUCUUUAUUGGCACAAUGAAAUUACAAUUCAAUUUUUUAUAAACAUGGUAGACUUACCAUGUAUAGUAUGCUAGAGAUAUUAAUAUGUAAUUUUAUUUUGUAUAACACAUAUAUUAAUAAAAAUUAUAAAUGAUAAAGCUCUUAGCAACAACUUAUAAAUAGCACCUGUUUUAAGCUACUAUGAUAGACUUAGAAAAAAAGAAAUACUAAUAUUCAUAUAUUCUAACCAUUUCUUACUAAAAGUCUUAUUUUGACUGGAGUGUUCAGACGUGUCAAAAGCCUAUUUUAAAUUUUGUGUUACAGUUGAAUAGAAUUGGCUCUAAAGUUAUCAGUUGUUAAUUUUCCCUCUGUUUAAUAAGUUAGAUGAUUUUCAUUUUAUCAGUGGAUUAUAAAGAAUGAGAGAAUGACUCUAUUAGAUAUGAUAGCACAUUAAGUUAUUGCAUAUUUAUUGGAAAUUACAAAAAGUUCAUAAUUUUAAAAUUCUACCUUGUCAAAGAAAAAAUUAGUUCAAAGCUUAAUUCAUUCAAGAAUAGCCCUUCUUUCUGAUCAUCCACAAACAGAAUGGCAAAGCUUCAUAUUCCAUUUGUUAAGAUUAACUUACAUGCCCUAAAUAUCAAAAACUGAAAAUAUAUACCUUAAAAGUAGAGGUUCCCCUAUAAAACUACUCAAAAGGUAUUGUUAAACCCAUGUUUUAUAAUGAACAAUUAUAUUCAUCAUUCUACAGGUACAAAAGUUUUAAAUACUUAUUUUAAAACAUUCCAGUGACUAAGAAUCUCAUUACAACAACAUUGAGCAUAUAAUCUUUAGAAAAUAAAAUGACAGCAUCUGUUACUCAUCCAAAAAAGUAAAAUUAUAUACUGAUUCUAGUGUUUACAAGUUUAACUUAACAUAUCUAAGAGUAUUUUCAAUCACUCUAAAAUGUCACAUCCAUCACUUAGAUCAGCUGUUCAUUUUUAACUGAGUACAUAUUAAACUCUGGGCAUCUGCUGACACUGGUGUAACUCAAACAUUUCAACUGUCCCUCUGACAAGGAUAACAGAUGCUGACAUUAUCAAAUGCUGUACUAUUUUUUUUCCAUGGCCUCUCCUUACCCCGAUAUGGCCAGUAUAUGAAACUGAACUGCCAUCCAAAAGCACACUUGAGCAACUGGAUCUGCUAAACAGCUCCCAUAGAACUAGUAAAAAUAGAAGCCAUUGCUUCUAUUUUAUUUUAUUGCUAUCUUCAGCACUUAAGUCCAGGCAAUUUAACAGCUGUUUCACUUCUAUUAGAAUAAAUGAUGGAAAGAAUUGUAGUUACAUUAAUUUCACCAGCAGAUGCAGAAUAUACUUAAUAUGAGAAUUGUGUGACUGUUACCUGAAUUAGUGUUGACCUUCUCCCAGUUUGAUUCACAACAGUUAACUAUUUCUUUACUCUGUAUUUCACUGAGAGCACUUAUCUUACAGGCAAACUAUAAUUUUUCAAACUUUUAUUUUAAACGAGUAUUUUUCAGAAGACAUUCCUUCCCCAUAUUGAAAUCACCUUAUAAUAAAAACUUGCUGUUAUGGGUCUUAAUGGUAGAUUUUAAUACUCAAAUUCAUGAUGUAUUAUUGCUAACCACCACAAAUCAAUGCAUUAAGCUGAUAAUGAGAAGUAAUCUGUACCUCAAAUGAAAGAGAAUUCAAGGAAUUAGACCUUUAAAAGGGUUAAAUUAUUAACCUAUGAUUAGUAACACUACAUAAGCAAAAACAAAGAAAAAUAAGUUAUCACACAGGGCAGUUCCUUUCAACACAAGUCUAAGCAAUACAAGUGUGAUCUAUUUAUAAACCAAAGGGCAGAUGAUGUACUUUCUUAAGGCCACUCAUUCCUCCACCCCCUGUAAGCAACUUGCUGUUAGUCCUUAAGUAUCAUACUUUAGCAUUAUAGUAUAGCAGCUUUUAAUAAUAAUUUUUUAAAAAGCAGCGGCAGUAGAAAAGUAUGUCUAGCAGGACUCUUCCCUAAACUGUUUUGCUUAUUUACUUGGUUUGCUGCCCAAAGAUAAACAGAAAACAUUGCUCUGAAAUACAUCAUGGUCUAUUUGCUCGUUUAAAUGGUGUUUGUUUUGAAACAGGUCACCGUCUACAUUUAAGAAUUAAGCAAACGUGUUAAAAAUAAAGAUGUACAUUGAUAACUCCUUAAUGUACUAACAACGCGUCAAAGGGCAAAGACUUACGCACUUCGAGAGUAGGAAAUAGUAGGAAAAGAGCCUUCAAAGUAGAAGGUUUUACAUUCAAUGACUGAAGUAUUGAUAUGAGAAUCUCUUAACAUUUGUGGAAGGUCCAUAACCAUGAUUUUACAAAUUAAAAACAUUAAACUGUUUUGGAUCCCAGACUAGCAGCACCACAAUGCUUUGCUAGAGCUGGUAAAAUGGAACCAAAUCGCCUCUUCAAUGGAUUUGGUCCCCUUCAACCAGCUGUAGCUAUGCAUUGAUUACUACAGGACAGCCAGUGUUUCCAUUUAUCAAUAUCAAUCACAUGUCAACUAAUUUCAACUUAUUUAAAUUGUUCAGAUUGUGGUUUAAAUCAAGUAAUUUAUUACUGUUAAUUCUUCCUGGAAGAGCCAAGGUGGUACACAAUGUUUAUACAAAGCUUUAUGAAAAAAUGUGUGGAUGAUGUAAGGAUUUCAAAUAAAAUUAUUUUACUUAUU